rnacentral:rRNA from 1 species
CCUACGGGAGGCAGCAGUGGGGAAUAUUGCACAAUGGGGGAAACCCUGAUGCAGCGACGCCGCGUGAGUGAAGAAGUAUUUCGGUAUGUAAAGCUCUAUCAGCAGGGAAGAAAAUGACGGUACCUGAUUAAGAAGCCCCGGCUAACUACGUGCCAGCAGCCGCGGUAAUACGUAGGGGGCACGCGUUAUCCGGAUUUACUGGGUGUAAAGGGGGCGUAGACGGCAGCACAAGGCUGGAGUGAAAUGCCGGGGCUUAACCCCGGAACUGCUUUGGAAACUGUGCAGCUAGAGUGCAGGAGAGGUAAGUGGAAUUCCUGGUGUAGCGGUGAAAUGCGUAGAUAUUGCGCAGAACUCCGAUUGCGAAGGCAGCAUACCGGCGGCGAACUGACGCUGAGGCACGAAAGCGUGGGUAGCGAACAGGAUUAGAUACCCCAGUAGUC